rnacentral:rRNA from 1 species
UGGCUCAGGAUGAACGCUAGCGGCAGGCUUAACACAUGCAAGUCGAGGGGCAUCGGGAGUAGCAAUACUGCCGGCGACCGGCGCAAGGGUGCGUAACGCGUGAGCAACAUGCCCGUAUCAGGGGGAUAAUCCAUGGAAACGUGGUCUAAUACCCCAUAGUAAUUAUGUAAGGCAUCUUAUAUAAUUUAAAGCUUUGGUGGAUACGGAUUGGCUCGCGUGACAUUAGCUAGAUGGUAAGGUAACGGCUUACCAUGGCUACGAUGUCUAGGGGUUCUGAGAGGAAGGUCCCCCCACACUGGAACUGAGACACGGUCCAGACUCCUACGGGAGGCAGCAGUGAGGAAUAUUGGACAAUGGAUGGAAAUCUGAUCCAGCCAUGCCGCGUGCAAGGAAGACGGCCCUAUGGGUUGUAAACUGCUUUUGUAUGGGAGCAAUAAGGGCUACGCGUAGUCCGAUGAGAGUACCAUACGAAUAAGCACCGGCUAACUCCGUGCCAGCCGCAGC